rnacentral:rRNA from 1 species
UACGGAGGGUGCAAACGUUGCUCGGAAUCACUGGGCGUAAAGCGCACGUAGGCGGCCUUGUAAGUUGGAUGUGAAAGCCCUGGGCUCAACCCAGGAAGUGCAUCCAAAACUGCAUGGCUUGAGUACCGGAGGGGUUCAGAGAAUUCCUGGUGUAGAGGUGAAAUUCGUAGAUAUCAGGAGGAAUACCAGUGGCGAAGGCGCUGAACUGGACGGUCACUGACGCUGAGGUGCGAAAGCGUGGGUAGCAAACAGG